rnacentral:rRNA from 1 species
AUGGCCUCCGCCGCCGAGCACACGGUGCCCCUGCUCGCCCGACUUCCAGCCGAGGCGGCUGAGGCGUACACCACCGACGGGUCCCUUGAUUUCGACGGGAACCCGGCGCUCAAGAAUCGCACGGGUGGAUGGCGCGCGUGCCGCGCAGUUCUCGGAACCGAGUUCUGCUACUGCCUGGCGUUCUACGGCGUCUCGUACAAUCUCGUCACCUACCUCACGACCGUCCUGGGCCAGAGCAACGUCGCCGCGGCGAGGAACGUGUCCACCUGGCAGGCCACCUGCUUCCUCUUGCCCCUCGGCGGCGCCAUCGUGGCCGACUCCUACUGUGGGAGGUACCGCACCAUGGUCGUCUCCUGCUUCAUCGGCGUCGCAGGCAUGCUCAUGACAGCAUUCUCGGCGUACCUCCCGCUGCUCGUCGAGAACGGCGUGUCGUUCAGAGGCCUCACCUCGUCGAACAUGGUGUCGGUUCAGGAGUUCGUCUUGUUUCUCGGCCUCUACAUGAUUGCCGUUGGGCUGGGCGGACUCCGACCGUGCCUCAUGUCCUUCGGCGCCGACCAGUUCGACGACGGCGAUCCAGCGGAGCGCGUGACCAAGGGAUCCUUCUUCAACUGGUACGUGUUCAACAUGAGCUGCGCGUCGCUGAUAUCCAGCACCGGCGUCGUGUGGGUGCAGGAUCAUUACGGCUGGGCCCUGGGCCUGACCGUCCCGGCGGUCGUCCUGGCCGUCGGGCUUUCUUGCCUGGUCGCGGCGUCACGGACGUACAGGUUUCAACGAACUCGCGGCAGCCCGCUCACCAGAGUGUGCCAGGUCGUGGUUGCUGCCAUGAGAAAGUCUGGCGUCGAGCUGCCGGCCGAUUGCUCUCUGCUCUACGACAUGCCGGAAGACGACAUCGCCAUGAAGGGCGUUGAGAGGAUCGAACACACUACUGAUCUCAGAUUCUUCGAUAAGGCCGCCAUUGUCGUGGCUUCUGACAAGGAGGUGGAGGCUGCGGCCGUGCCGGUGCCGCGCAGCCCGUGGAGGCUCUGCGUCGUGACGCAGGUCGAGGAGCUCAAGAUUCUUGUGCGGAUGCUGCCGCUCUGGGCGACCGUCCUGUUCUUCUAUGCCGUGUCGGUGCAGAUCUCGUCCACAUUCGUCGAGCAAGGCAGGGCGAUGGACGCUACCGUCGGCUCUGUGCGCGUCCCGCCUGCGUCCAUGUCUACCUUCGAUAUAAUCACCGUCAUCGUCCUGGUCCCUCUCUACGACCGGGUCUUCGUUCCGGCGGCGAGAAGGCUCACCGGGAGGGAGAAGGGCAUCUCGGAGCUGCAGAGGAUCGGCGCCGGCCUCGCCAUGCCCGUGUUCGCCAUGGCCGCCGCGGCGCUUCUCGAGACGGUGCGCCUCCGCGCGGCGAAGGCGGCGCCCCUGGCGCCAUGCUCGACGAGCGUGCUGUGGCAGGCGCCGCAGUACGUGCUGGUGGGCGUGGGCGAGGUGCUCACCACCAUCGGCCAGCUUGACUUCUUCUACGGCCAGGCGCCGGCCGGGAUGAAGACCGUGUGCACGGCGCUCGCGCUUCUCGCAGUAGCGGCCGGCGGCUACCUGAGCUCAUUCCUACUGACGGCCGUGCAGUGGGCGACGACGACUGGUGGCGCGCCUGGGUGGAUCCCUGACGACCUGAACGAGGGUCAUCUGGAUCGCUUCUUCUGGAUGAUGGCCGGACUUGGUUGUCUCAAUCUGAUAGCGUUCGGGAGCUGCGCCAGGAGGUACAAAUCCAAGAAGGGUUGCUGA